rnacentral:rRNA from 1 species
CCUACGUGAGGCAGCAGUGGGGAAUAUUGGACAAUGGGGGGAACCCUGAUCCAGCGCCGCCGCGUGAGUGAAGAAGUAUUUCGGUAUGUAAAGCUCUAUCAGCAGGGAAGAAAGAAAUGACGGUACCUGACUAAGAAGCCCCGGCUAACUACGUGCCAGCAGCCGCGGUCAUACGUAGGGGGCAAGCGUUAUCCGGAUUUACUGGGUGUAAAGGGAGCGUAGACGGCGAUGCAAGUCUGAAGUGAAAGGCGGGGGCCCAACCCCCGGACUGCUUUGGAAACUGUAUGGCUGGAGUGCAGGAGAGGUAAGUGGAAUUCAUAGUGUAGCGGUGAAAUGCGUAGAUAUUAGGAGGAACACAAGUGGCGAAGGCGGCUUACUGGACUGUAACUGACGUUGAGGCUCGAAAGCGUGGGGAGCAAACAGGAUUAGAUACCCUAGUAGUC